rnacentral:rRNA from 1 species
AGCGAACGCUGGCGGCAGGCUUAACACAUGCAAGUCGAGCGGGCCCCUUUCGGGGUGUCAGCGGCGGACGGGUGAGUAACGCGUGGGAACGUGCCCUCUGGUUCGGAAUAACUCAGGGAAACUUGAGCUAAUACCGGAUACGCCCUUUUGGGGAAAGGCUUGCUGCCGGUGGAUCGGCCCGCGUCUGAUUAGCUAGUUGGUGAGGUAACGGCUCACCAAGGCGACGAUCAGUAGCUGGUCUGAGAGGAUGAUCAGCCACACUGGGACUGAGACACGGCCCAGACUCCUACGGGAGGCAGCAGUGGGGAAUAUUGGACAAUGGGCGCAAGCCUGAUCCAGCAAUGCCGCGUGAGUGAUGAAGGCCUUAGGGUUGUAAAGCUCUUUUAUCCGGGACGAUAAUGACGGUACCGGAGGAAUAAGCCCCGGCUAACUUCGUG